rnacentral:rRNA from 1 species
GAUCCUGGCUCAGGAUGAACGCUAGCUACAGGCUUAACACAUGCAAGUCGAGGGGCAGCAUUUCAGUUUGCUUGCAAACUGGAGAUGUCGACCGGCGCACGGGUGAGUAACACGUAUCCAACCUGCCGAUAACUCGGGGAUAGCCUUUCGAAAGAAAGAUUAAUACCCGAUGGUAUAAUUAGACCGCAUGGUCUAAUUAUUAAAGAAUUUCGGUUAUCGAUGGGGAUGCGUUCCAUUAGGCAG